GGGGGCGUGGUCAUCAAAGUGCUGAGACCUGAGACGAUUGUCUUUCUAUCUAUCCGAGGAUGGUUAUCGAUGGUUACGUUAGUCAUUACUCAUUACGGGGUAUUUUCUUUACUUUCUUUCUUGAAAUUGUCAAUUGAUCUUCAUAAGAAAAGUACAUUUCCUGAUUUCCUCAAAAUGUCGUAUCUUGCUGCAUGUUGCACGUUUCGUCACAUCUGAAAGCAGUGUGAAAUUACUUCAAAAAUGAUUGUGGAGCGUAAGUCGGCAUCCAGCUUCAUAAAAGUAACACUGGAUUUUCAAUAAUUCGUCUGCAGCAACAUUUUCUGGUUGUUUCAACGAAGUUUCUCAUUUCUCCUAUUUAAUUAGUUUCUGGAAUAUUUGGAUAAUGACCGACAUGGGCGCAAAUACUUCCUUGCAAGAAACAUCUUCAUCGAAGAAAAUGGCAACCAGGAAGAAAUUGGCGUCGAAGACCAUAAAACGUGGAACUACUCAUGCCAGCACCAUCAGCUUGAACAGUUCCUUUCAACUUUGGCCAUGGCAGAAUUAAAUUAACCCAUCAUUGAAACUUGUGAGCAAUUUUAUCUGAGGCAAGAAGUAUUGAGGCGGUUGUUUCCCAUUUUGACAAACACCUAGAUGACAACCACACAUAACAAAUGUAACUCCUAUCUUGACGGGCCGGCCAGUUUGCAUAUCCUUCACGCUUGAAGGUCGAGGGAAACAUUGUGUAAAAUUGUCAAUGCGGCGGUGUAGAGAUUGGGUGAGAACUGGACGUGUUGCAUCAUUUUCAGCAGACCCAACCCCAGCAACGUCAACCUAAAGAAGGAAAGGCCAGUUUGCAUUUCCUUCACUUUCGAAGGUCACGGAGAUCAUUACGUAAAACUGUCAAUGCGGUGGUGUAGAGGUUGGGUGAGGACGACACGUGUAACAUAUCAAGCAGGAGAGAGAAAAGUCGACAAGGAUCAGUCGAACGAGUAUCUCCGACACGGUAACAACUUCAGCGCACUAUUGGUCACCAGCUGCAUUCUUCAUCGUAUCAUCAUCAGUUCGCAAUCCCAACAAACUGUGGCGUCGUGCUGCUGUUGGUUGUUGUCCUGAAAUACUACUCCACCGAGGCUUCAAAGUAUUACACUACAAUUUAUGCUGCCGCGAGAUGCAUCACUAAAGAGCUCGAGUUCUACAUCGUGAUCCCAUUCGUAUUAAGCCAUAACCAUUUGGUAUUAAUUUGAUAUUGUUUGUUGUACACCCACCCCCAGCAACGUCCAAUUAGCAUGUCCUUCACCCUUGAAGGUCGCGGAGAUCAUUAUGCAAAUCUGUCAAUGCGGUGGUGUAAGGUUGGGUGAGAACAGAAAGUGUUUGCUAUAUUAUCGAGGAGGUAUAAUAGUCGUAAGGCUUAAGAGAGGGGUCAGGGUGAGAAAAAGUCGUAUUAGUGGCAAGAGAAAAGUCAAUAGGGAUCAGUCGAGUGAGUAUCUCCAUCACGGCAACAACUGCAGCCCACUAUUUGUCACCAACUGCCUUCUUCAUUGUACAACCAGUUCGCAAUCACGGUUCACUCUGGCGCCGUGCUGCUGUUUGGUGUCUUAUCGUUGAAGGUUGGGUCGACCACGGGUUUACUGAUGUCUUCUGGUCAUGGUGGAGACCAAGCAACAGCAGCGAAAGAAUACUACACCACGCCGCCGCCUUACUACGCAACGAAGUCAACAUACGCAACAUCUACUUACAACACCGAGGCCCCCAAGUGCUACACCACCAAGGCUCAAGAGUUACGCUACAAAUAACGCUGCCCCGAGUUACAUCACCAAAGCGCCUGAGUACUACAUCCCCGAGGCACUACAACUGAGGCGGCGAAGUACUACGUAGCCUAUGCUUACAACACAGCAGCUGCUCCUUCAUACUACGUUGAACUGAAAUACUACACCAAGGCUGCAGUUAACUACACCACAACCUACGCUACACCUAGCUACUAUGACGAAGCCCCCAACUACUACACCGAAGAGGCCACAUGUUACACAUCAACGUACAGUGCCCCAGUUUACUACACCGAGGAACCCAAGUAUUACUCUGCUCCAAGCUACUACCAAACUGAGGCUCCUGUUUACCAAGGCCACCGAGUAUUAUACUACAACCAAACGUUAACUAUGGCGUCGUGCUGCUGUUGGUUGUAUUAUCCUUGAUGGCUGGGUUGACCACUGGUGUACCAAUGUCUCCUGGGUAUGGCGGAUACCAAACCGCAACGCCGGUGUCUUACUAUACAACAACAUACGCAGCAACCGGAUACUACACCCCCAAGGCCCUAGAGUAUUAAUUACACCAUAACUUAUGAAGUCCCGAACUUCUACACCGAAGCUUCGAAGUUUAACUCAGCCCCGGGUUAAACCACCAAGGCAGCGGAGUACUACACCACCAAGGCAGCGGAGUACUACACCACCAAGGCAGCGGAGUACUACACCACCAAGGCAGCGGAGUACUACACCACCAAGGCAGCGGAGUACUACACCACCAAGGCAGCGGAGUACUACACCACCAAGGCAGCGGAGUACUACACCACCAAGGCAGCGGAGUACUACACCACCAAGGCAGCGGAGUACUACACCACCAAGGCAGCGGAGUACUACACCACCAAGGCAGCGGAGUACUACACCACCAAGGCAGCGGAGUACUACACCACCAAGGCAGCGGAGUACUACACCACCAAGGCAGCGGAGUACUACACCACCAAGUCAGCGGAGUACUACACCACCAAGUCAGCGGAGUACUACACCACCAAGGCAGCGGAGUACUACACCACCAAGGCAGCGGAGUACUACACCACCAAGGCAGCGGAGUACUACACCACCAAGGCAGCGGAGUACUACACCACCAAGGCAGCGGAGUACUACACCACCAAGGCAGCGGAGUACUACACCACCAAGGCAGCUGCAUAUACGUACUACGUUGAACCGGAAUGCUAAACCGAGGCUCCAGUUUUCUAUACUACAGCCUGCGCUUCUCCUAGGUACUAUACUACCAAGGCAACUGAGUAUUACACCACUUCUUACGCUGCUACCACCUACUACACCGAAGCUCCGAAGUUGUACUCUGUGCUGAGUUACCACACCAUUAAGGAAGUCGAACAUUACACCACAAACGCUUCCGCAACUUACUACAUGGUGAUUCCGAAAUUUCUAUUUGAUUUUAUUUAGAUAUGUCGGUUUUCUUCAUGGUCAUUGGUCAUUGGGAAUUAAUUGUUGAUCUCGAUUGAGAAAAUAAAAUUUCUAAUGCCGGUAA
rnacentral:lncRNA from 1 species